UGCACUCAUGGCUUCUCCUAGCAAGGCAGUGAUUGUUCCCGGGAACGGAGGCGGGGAUGUGACCACCCACGGCUGGUAUGGCUGGGUGAAAAAGGAGCUGGAGAAGUUACAGCACAAGAGAGCAUCUGGCUGCCCUUCAUGGAGACAGAGCUGCACUGUGAUGAGAAGACUAUCAUCAUUGGCCACAGUUCUGGGGCCAUCGCGGCCAUGAGGUAUGCAGAAACACAUCGAGUAUAUGCUAUUGUAUUAGUGUCUGCGUACACAUCAGACUUGGGGGAUGAAAAUGAGCGUGCAAGUGGAUACUUCACCCGCCCCUGGCAGUGGGAGAAGAUCAAGGCCAACUGCCCUUACAUUGUGCAGUUUGGCUCUACCGACGACCUAUUCCUUCCCUGGAAGGAACAACAAGAAGUGGCCGAUAGGUUGGAAACCAAAUUGCACAAAUUCACUGACCGUGGCCACUUUCAGAACACAGAGUUUCAUGAACUGAUUACUGUGGUAAAGUCUUUGCUGAAAGUACCAGCAUAGACUGUAUGAUUUCCGCUAUUUUGCAUCCCAAUAUAGGGGUAGAAUAAUAUCUACUAUCAGCUGAUUACUAGACACAUAGAACAUCCAGUUAAGUUCCAAAAGUGCCUGAAAAACAAACACAAGUUUCAACAUUCAAUCUAAGUUACAAAUAGCAUUUCCAUUUUCCAUAGACUCUAAAACUCCCCAAAUUACUAUGAGCUACUGCAGUAUUUUCCUCAUUUGAUAAGAAACAUAAGGACAGCUUAACUACCCUUCUCUAUCCAAAGUAAGUCAGAAACAGAACCCAGGUUUCCUGAUUGCCACUC
rnacentral:sRNA from 1 species